CUCAUUGUUCAUUUCAGAUGUCCGAUUUACACUUUGAAAAGUGUAUUUGUAGCAGAAUCUGCUGCUGCUUUCCCUCCAGAUCGUUGCCUUCUUGAAUACUUUGUGUGAUGCCCAGUGCUUUGUAAAACCAGUUGGCAAAAAGGGUUGCUUUCAAGGUGGAAAGUGGUACCGCGUUACUGCUGUGUGGAAAACUAGCAAUUGUCAAAGAUGUGAAUGUAAACCAAAAGAACUGAUAUGCUGCAGCUUGGUUUUCAGACCUAUCAACUAUGACAAGACAAAAUGUAUCGCCAUGUUUCACCAGCGAUCCUGCUCUAUCCGUGUGGUGAAGAAGUCUGAUCCUGCAGAAGAGUGCAAGGUUUUUGCUGGGGUUGGGUAAUAGCUAUCCAUUCAGC